rnacentral:tRNA from 1 species
AAGACUAUUUAAUAGGCUGCUAACCUAAUAGUAAUGAUCACAUUUAGUCUUU